GACGUAGGAUGCAAGCGUUGUCCGGAUUUAUUGGGCGUAAAGAGUUCGUAGGUGGUUUGUUAAGUCUGAUGUUAAAGACUGGGGCUCAACCUCGGAAAUGCAUUGGAUACUGGCAGACUUGAGUGCAGUAGAGGCAAGCGGAAUUCCAGGUGUAGCGGUGAAAUGCGUAGAUAUCUGGAAGAACACCGGUGGCGCAAGCGGCUUGCUGGGCUGUAACUGACACUGAGGAACGAAAGCUAGGAGAGCAAAUGGG
rnacentral:rRNA from 1 species